AGAGGUGGGGGACAACCCUGGGAAACUGGGGCUAAUACCGCAUAUGGGCUGAGGCCCAAAGCAGUGAUGCGCCUUUGGAGCGGCCUGCGUCCGAUUAGGUAGUUGGUGGGGUAAAGGCCUACCAAGCCUGCGAUCGGUAGCUGGUCUGAGAGGACGAUCAGCCACACUGGGACUGAGACACGGCCCAGACUCCUACGGGAGGCAGCAGUGGGGAAUAUUGGACAAUGGGCGCAAGCCUGAUCCAGCAAUGCCGCGUGUGUGAAGAAGGUCUUCGGAUCGUAAAGCACUUUUGACAGGGACGAUGAUGACGGUACCUGUAGAAUAAGCAUCGGCUAACUUCGUG
rnacentral:rRNA from 1 species